rnacentral:rRNA from 1 species
UACGUAGGGUGCGAGCGUUGUCCGGAAUUAUUGGGCGUAAAGGGCUCGUAGGCGGUCUGUCACGUCGGGAGUGAAAACACGGGGCUUAACCCCGUGCCUGCUUCCGAUACGGGCAGACUAGAGGUAUGCAGGGGAGAACGGAAUUCCUGGUGUAGCGGUGAAAUGCGCAGAUAUCAGGAGGAGCACCGGUGGCGAAGGCGGUUCUCUGGGCAUUACCUGACGCUGAGGAGCGAAAGUGUGGGGAGCGAACAGG